UCAGGCCGGCGCACGCCGGCUCAGAACGAAAGGAGAACGUUCGCAGGAGAGCUCUCGCGUUCUAAUAGCUAGUUCGGUGGGAGUAACGGCCCACCAAGGCGAAGAUAGGUAGCCGGCCUGAGAGGGUGAAACGGCCACAAGGGGACUGAGAUACGGCCCUUUACUCUCUACGGGAGGGCAGCAGUGGGGAAAUAUUGGAACAAUGGGGGCAACCCUGAUUCCAGCAAUUUCUGUGUGCACGAAAGAAGGGUUUUUCGGAAUUGUAAAGUGCUUUCAGCAGGGAAAGAAAAAAAGUGACGGUACCUGCAGAAAAAAGCCGACGGCUAAAUACCUGCCAGCAGCCGCGGUAAUACGUAUGUCGCAAGCGUUAUCCGGAAUUAUUGGGCAUAAAGGGCAUCUAGGCGGCCCUGUAAGUCUAGGGUGAAAACCUGCGGCUCAACCCGCAGGCCUGCCCCGGAAACUACAGGGCCAGAGUAUCGGAGAGGUGGACGGAACUGCACGAGUAGAGGUGAAAUUCGUAGAUAUGUGCAGGAAUGCCGAUGAUGAAGAUAGUUCACUGGACGGUAACUGACGCUGAAGUGCGAAAGCUAGGGGAGCAAACAGGAUUAGAUACCCUGGUAGUCCUAGCUGUAAACGAUGAUUACUGGGUGUGGGCAUGAAGAGUGUCCGUGCCGAAGCAAAUGCGAUAAGUAAUCCGCCUGGGGAGUACGGCCGCAAGGCUGAAACUCAAAGGAAUUGACGGGGACCCGCACAAGCGGUGGAGCAUGUGGUUUAAUUCGACGCAACGCGAGGAACCUUACCAGAUCUUGACAUCCUGCGAAUGCCCGUGAGAGCGGGCAGUGCCUUCGGGAACGCAGAGACAGGUGGUGCAUGGCUGUCGACAGCUCGUGUCGUGAGAUGUUGGGUUAAGUCCCGCAACGAGCGCAACCCCUAUCGUUAGUUGCCAUCAUUAAGUUGGGGACUCUAGCGAGACUGCCUGCGAAGAGCUAGGAGGAAGGUGGGGAUGACGUCAAGUCAUCAUGCCCCUUAUGUAUCUGGGCUACACACGUGCUACGAUGGCCGGUACAGAGAGCUAGCCUGGCGGCAACGCCGAGCGAAUUCUUUAAAGCCGGUUCCGAAGUUUCGGAUUGAAAGCCUGCGAACUCGGCUUUCGUGAAAGCUGGAAAUCGCUUAGUGAAUCGCGGAAUCAGCAAAUGCUGCGGUAAAUACGUU
rnacentral:rRNA from 1 species